CUACGGGGCGCUGCAGUGGGGAAUAUUGCACAAUGGGCGCAAGCCUGAUGCAGCCAUGCCGCGUGUAUGAAGAAGGCCUUCGGGUUGUAAAGUACUUUCAGCGGGGAGGAAGGGAGUAAAGUUAAUACCUUUGCUCAUUGACGUUACCCGCAGAAGAAGCACCGGCUAACUCCGUGCCAGCAGCCGCGGUAAUACGGAGGGUGCAAGCGUUAAUCGGAAUUACUGGGCGGUAAAGCGCACGCAGGCGGUUUGUUAAGUCAGAUGUGAAAUCCCCGGGCUCAACCUGGGAACUGCAUCUGAUACUGGCGAGCAUGAGUCUCGUAGAGGGGGGUAGAAUUCCAGGUGUAGCGGUGACAUGCGUAGAGAUCUGGAGGAAUACCGGUGGCGAAGGCGGCCCCCUGGACGAAGACUGACGCUCAGGUGCGAAAGCGUGGGGAGCAAACAGGAUUAGAUACCCCAGUAGUC
rnacentral:rRNA from 1 species